rnacentral:rRNA from 1 species
CCAGGGGGGCUGCAGUGGGGAAUAUUGGACAAUGGGCGAAAGCCUGAUCCAGCCAUGCCGCGUGUGUGAAGAAGGCCUUCGGGUUGUAAAGCACUUUCAGUGGGGAAGAAAGCCUUGGGGCUAAUACCCUCGAGGAAGGACAUCACCCACAGAAGAAGCACCGGCUAACUCCGUGCCAGCAGCCGCGGUAAUACGGAGGGUGCGAGCGUUAAUCGGAAUUACUGGGCGUAAAGCGCGCGUAGGCGGUCUGAUAAGCCGGUUGUGAAAGCCCCGGGCUCAACCUGGGAACGGCAUCCGGAACUGUCAGGCUAGAGUGCAGGAGAGGAAGGUAGAAUUCCCGGUGUAGCGGUGAAAUGCGUAGAGAUCGGGAGGAAUACCAGUGGCGAAGGCGGCCUUCUGGACUGACACUGACGCUGAGGUGCGAAAGCGUGGGUAGCAAACAGGAUUAGAUACCCGUGUAGUC